rnacentral:lncRNA from 1 species
GUGUACAUGUGAGAAUCUCAAGACAAAUUAUGAAGGUAGAAAAUGCAUUGGAAAUAUGGCAACCACCAUCUCUCUUCUCUUUAAUUUUUUUACCUUCAACGAGCUAAGUGCAUGGAGAAAUAUUAUUGGGUUUGAUUUCCGUGUGAUGAGAGAGAAUCAAUUUUUCUUUACUCUAAAGUGUUUUGAAAAAAGAGAACUACACUUUUUUGUGGACAGAUUUUCAAGCUAAACGUAUACUUAUUUUGAAGAUGAGGCAGGUGGUCAUCAACGUAUACUUAUUUCCGUGUGACGAGAGACAAUCAAUUUUCUUUACUCAAAAGUGUUUUGAAAAGAGAGGGGUACAUUUUUUUUUUACAAAUUUUGAAUCUAAACGUAUAGUACUUAUUUUGAAGGGAGACGGGGGUGGUCACCAACGGCACCCAUGGAAGGCGUUGUAGUCUUGCAGAAGCACCAUCAUCGUUGUCAUCUUAUUCUUUUUUCACGU